UCCUUCCGUAGGGGAACCUGCGGAAGGAUCAUUACCGAGUGUAGGGUUCCUAGCGAGCCCAACCUCCCACCCGUGUUUACUGUACCUUAGUUGCUUCGGCGGGCCCGCCAUUCAUGGCCGCCGGGGGCUCUCAGCCCCGGGCCCGCGCCCGCCGGAGACACCACGAACUCUGUCUGAUCUAGUGAAGUCUGAGUUGAUUGUAUCGCAAUCAGUUAAAACUUUCAACAAUGGAUCUCUUGGUUCCGGCAUCGAUGAAGAACGCAGCGAAAUGCGAUAACUAGUGUGAAUUGCAGAAUUCCGUGAAUCAUCGAGUCUUUGAACGCACAUUGCGCCCCCUGGUAUUCCGGGGGGCAUGCCUGUCCGAGCGUCAUUGCUGCCCAUCAAGCACGGCUUGUGUGUUGGGUCGUCGUCCCCUCUCCGGGGGGGACGGGCCCCAAAGGCAGCGGCGGCACCGCGUCCGAUCCUCGAGCGUAUGGGGCUUUGUCACCCGCUCUGUAGGCCCGGCCGGCGCUUGCCGAACGCAAAUCAAUCUUUUCCAGGUGACCUCGAUCAGUAGAACAAAUUC
rnacentral:misc_RNA from 1 species